UAGACGCGAAACCUAGUGAUCUAGGCCUGUCCAGGCUGAAGCUGAGGUAAGACUCAGUGGAGGGCCGAACUCACCGCCGUUGAAAAGUUGGGAGAUGAGAUAGGUCUAGGGGUGAAAAGCCAAUCGAACUAGGAGAUAGCUCGUUCUCUCCGAAAUGCAUUUAGGUGCAGCCUUGAACUGAGAUAUGUGGGGGUAGAGCUCUGUAUGAUCUAGGGGGCGUACUGCUUACCGAAAUCAAGCAAACUUCGAAUACCAUAUAUCAUGUUCAGGAGUGAGUCCGUGGAUGACAAGGUCCUCGGACGAGAGGGGAACAGCCCAGACCGCCAGCUAAGGUCCCUAAUUAUGUCUAAGUGGGAAAGGAGGUGGAUAUUCACAGACAACCAGGAGGUUGGCUUAGAAGCAGCCAUGCCUUGAAAGAGUGCGUAAUAGCUCACUGGUCGAGAGUAUCUGCGCCGAAGAUGUAACGGGGCUAAGACAUAAACCGAAGCUGCGGAAGAUACUACGUAUCUUGGUAGGAGAGCGUUCUGUAGGCCGUCGAAGGGAUGCCGCAAGGCCAUCCUGGAGGUAUCAGAAGCGAGAAUGCAGGAAUGAGUAGCGAGAAGGCGGGCGAGAAUCCCGCCGGCCGGAAGUCCAAGGUUUCCAGGGGAAGGCUUGUCCGCCCUGGGGAAGUCGGGACCUAAGCAUAAGCAAAAUUGUGACGGCGAAUGGAAAACAGGUUAAUAUUCCUGUACCGCUGUUAUCGCUUGAGAGACGGAGUGACGCAGGAAGGUAUGCGAGAAGGCUGACGGUUUAGCCUUUCUAAGGGCCCAGCGUGGGCGUGCAGGUAAAUCCGCACGCCUAAACGUGAGACCUGACGGGGAAGUGCAUUUGCAUAAGUCGCAGAUCCUACACUGCCAGGAAAAACUUCUAUCGAUGAGAAGCAGCGCCCGUACUGUAAACCGACACAGGUGGACAGAGUGAGAAACUUAAGGCCGACAGGAUAACUCUAGCUAAGGAACUCUGCAAAAUAGCCCCGUAACUUCGGGAGAAGGGGUGCCUGACAUACCUGAAGAGAGAGACGCUCCUAGGGGAAACAGGCCGCAGUGAAGAGUCUCAAGCAACUGUUUACCAAAAACACAGGUCUAUGCUAAGCUGAAAGGCGACGUAUAUGGGCUGACACCUGCCCAGUGCCGGAAGGUUAAGAGGAGGAGUGAGAGCUCCGAUUUGAAGCCCCGGUGAACGGCGGCCGUAACUAUAACGGUCCUAAGGUAGCGAAAUUCCUUGUCGGGUAAGUUCCGACCUGCACGAAUGGUGUAAUGAUUUGAGCGCUGUCUUGACGGGAGGCCUGGUGAAAUUGUAUUACCGGUGAAGAUACCGGUUACCUACAGUAGGACGGAAAGACCCCAUGGAGCUUUACUGUAGCUUGGUAUUGGGUUUUGGCAUUGCAUGUAUAGGAUAGUUGGGAGACUAUGAUGAUAUGGCGCUAGCUGUAUCGGAGUCAUCGGUGGAAUACCAACCAUUCAAUGCUGAAAUUCUAAUCUGUGGUUUGUAGCCACGGAGACAGUGCUAGGUGGGCAGUUUGACUGGGGCGGUCGCCUCCGAAAGAGUAACGGAGGCGUUCAAAGGUUCUCUCAGGUUGGAUGGAAAUCAACCAUAGAGUGCAAUGGCAUAAGAGAGCUUGACUGCAAGACUGACGGGUCGAGCAGAUGCGAAAGCAGGACAUAGUGAUCCGGCGAUUCCGAAUGGAAGGGUCGUCGCUCAACGGAUAAAAGCUACCCUGGGGAUAACAGGCUGAUCCUACCCGAGAGUCCAUAUCGACGGUAGGGUUUGGCACCUCGAUGUCGGCUCAUCGCAUCCUGGGGCUGGAGAAGGUCCCAAGGGUUGGGCUGUUCGCCCAUUAAAGCGGUACGUGAGCUGGGUUCAGAACGUCGUGAGACAGUUCGGUCCCUAUCCACUGUAGGCGUUAGAAUAUUGAGAAGACCUGUCCUUAGUACGAGAGGACCGGGAUGGACAAACCUCUGAUGUACCAGUUGUCACGCCAGUGGCACAGCUGGGUAGUCACGUUUGGAAUAGAUAACCGCUGAAAGCAUCUAAGCGGGAAACUAACUUCAAGAUAAGUAUUCU
rnacentral:rRNA from 1 species